GUUGCCAUUAGGCGACGAAGUGGUUGAUACCAUGCUUCCAAGAAAAGCUCCUAAGCUUCAGAUAACUGGGAACCGUACCCCAAACCGACACAGGUGGUUAGGUAGAGAAUACCAAGGCGCUUGAGAGAACUCGGGUGAAGGAACUAGGCAAAAUGGCACCGUAACUUCGGGAGAAGGUGCGCCGGCGAGGGUCAAGGACUUGCUCCGUAAGCCCAUGCCGGUCGAAGAUACCAGGCCGCUGCGACUGUUUAUUAAAAACACAGCACUCUGCAAACACGAAAGUGGACGUAUAGGGUGUGACGCCUGCCCGGUGCCGGAAGGUUAAUUGAUGGGGUUAGCGCAAGCGAAGCUCUUGAUCGAAGCCCCGGUAAACGGCGGCCGUAACUAUAACGGUCCUAAGGUAGCGAAAUUCCUUGUCGGGUAAGUUCCGACCUGCACGAAUGGCGUAACGAUGGCGGCGCUGUCUCCACCCGAGACUCAGUGAAAUUGAAAUCGCUGUGAAGAUGCAGUGUAUCCGCGGCUAGACGGAAAGACCCCGUGAACCUUUACUAUAGCUUUGCACUGGACUUUGAAUUUGCUUGUGUAGGAUAGGUGGGAGGCUUUGAAGUGGGGACGCCAGUUCUCAUGGAGCCAUCCUUGAAAUACCACCCUGGCAACUUUGAGGUUCUAACUCAGGUCCGUUAUCCGGAUCGAGGACAGUGUAUGGUGGGUAGUUUGACUGGGGCGGUCUCCUCCCAAAGAGUAACGGAGGAGUACGAAGGUGCGCUCAGACCGGUCGGAAAUCGGUCGUAGAGUAUAAAGGCAAAAGCGCGCUUGACUGCGAGACACACACGUCGAGCAGGUACGAAAGUAGGUCUUAGUGAUCCGGUGGUUCUGUAUGGAAGGGCCAUCGCUCAACGGAUAAAAGGUACUCCGGGGAUAACAGGCUGAUACCGCCCAAGAGUUCAUAUCGACGGCGGUGUUUGGCACCUCGAUGUCGGCUCAUCACAUCCUGGGGCUGAAGCCGGUCCCAAGGGUAUGGCUGUUCGCCAUUUAAAGUGGUACGCGAGCUGGGUUUAGAACGUCGUGAGACAGUUCGGUCCCUAUCUGCCGUGGACGUUUGAGAUUUGAGAGGGGCUGCUCCUAGUACGAGAGGACCGGAGUGGACGAACCUCUGGUGUUCCGGUUGUCACGCCAGUGGCAUUGCCGGGUAGCUAUGUUCGGAAGAGAUAACCGCUGAAAGCAUCUAAGCGGGAAACUUGCCUCAAGAUGAGAUCU
rnacentral:rRNA from 1 species